UGACCAAAACAGACCGCGCACGCGUCAUCCAUCCUGCCGGCGAUGACAACGUUCAUCGCUYGGCUUAUUCCUCGACAACCUCCUCUCCUCGGAGUGGGGGCUCGGGGUAAAAGAACCCACGACGCCUAAGGCGUCAAGGAACACUGUGCCUAGCUCGGGGACGUGGCUGGCUUGCUGGCUGCCCCCCGUGCUGCAAUGCUAUAUAAUCCACACGACUCUCGGCAACGGAUAUCUCGGCUCUCGCAUCGAUGAAGAACGUAGCGAAAUGCGAUACCUGGUGUGAAUUGCARAAUCCCGCGAACCAUCGAGUCUUUGAACGCAAGUUGCGCCCGAGGCCAUUCGGCCGAGGGCACGCCUGCCUGGGCGUCACGCCAAACACGCUCCCACUCCCUCAUCAGGGAGCGGGAUGCGGCAUGUGGUCCCCCGUCGCGCAAGGGGCGGUGGGCCGAARAUAUGGCUGCCGGCGUAUCGUGUCGGACACAGCGCGUGGUGGGCGAACUCGCUUUACUUACCGCAGUGCAUCAGACACGUAGCCGACGUGAUGGCCUUGAAGGACCCUCGUAACGGUGCGCAUGACGCUCCGACC
rnacentral:misc_RNA from 1 species